ACCUUAAUCUGGGGGAUAGCCUCUCGAAAGAGAGAUUAACACCGCAUAACAUCACAUUGCGGCAUUGCAGCGUGAUCAAAUAUUUAUAGGAUUAAGAUGGGCAUGCGGAACAUUAGCUAGUUGGUAAGGUAAUGGCUUACCAAGGCUACGAUGUUUAGGGGAUCUGAGAGGAUGACCCCCCACACUGGUACUGAGACACGGACCAGACUCCUACGGGAGGCAGCAGUAAGGAAUAUUGGUCAAUGGGCGGUAGCCUGAACCAGCCAUGCCGCGUGCAG
rnacentral:rRNA from 1 species